rnacentral:lncRNA from 1 species
AAAUGAAGAUUUUAUGACUUGUGCGGCUGUUCCAGCCAGGUGACCACUCUGCAGAGCUGCCUCCAGCACAAGAUCCAUGAUGAAAACUGCUAACCUGCUAUUACAACCUACAACAUACGUUGAACUACUUCCACUACCAUACAAACACUUCAGUUGUUGUUUUUUUACACUUGACGAUUUAUUGAUGUCCACAGUUUGAGUCUAAUAUAAUACAGGAAUAACGGUGUUAUUUUGUGUAUCCCCAAUGUACCACAUUUUACCAUCACAUUGGCAUUGUUUGGCAUAUUGCUUCACAAAAUAAUCAAGACAACGUAUUUGCAUAAAUUAAUGUUAGUAGAGCCAUUUUUUGUUUGUUUGUUUGUUUUGACACUUCUUUUUCAACUGAAAAACAUGUAAUAAAUUAAUACAUUAAUUCACAAUCCAACAAAUGGAUUAAAUGCUAGAAAUCAGAAGAGCCAACAUGUCCUCUACUUAAUACCGUAUGUCGACUCAGUAAGGGGCCCGCGUCCCAAAUUACAUCCUAUUCUCUACAGUGCACCACUUCUGACCAGGGGCAACAGGGCUCGAGUCAAAAAUAGCACACUAUAUAUAGGGAAUACGGGUGCCAUUUGGGACACACAGGCCAGUAAAAAAGAUAGACCCUAUUGAGCAGCUUUUCUCUAUUCCACUCAGUCAGGUCUGUAUUAUAUAACUCUACAACAACACACAAUCUACCACCCACGACACAACAUACACAGCUCAUUCACUUACAUGUUACUCUCUCAACACAAUACAAUUACAUUAUCCAUUUCACAUCAGACAGAGAGGGUCCAUCUGAGAUAGCAGACAGACAAAACAGAGAAACAACCCUUUUCAAUCACUAUCCAUUCUUUGUGAAUCACAGUUCACAUAGCAAGGCCUUUUUUUAAUCAGUGCUAGUCAACUACAGGUAUCUGUGUAGAUGUAUGGAUCACUAGUCAACUACAGGUCUCUGUGUAGAUGUAUGGAUCACUAGUCAACUACAGGUUUCUCUCUGUGUAGAAGU